rnacentral:lncRNA from 1 species
UAUACAAAUAAACGUGUUCCAUUAAUCCAUUUCAUUCGUUUCAUCUGGAAACAAUUCUGUCCAGGCGUCCAGCCGAUUCCAGCGGCUCCACUGCUCCAGCAGUCCAGCCAGUCCGAAAUCAAUGAAUAAAUACAAGCUUCAUAGAUCAUAGACAUAAAGGACACCUUUUUUUACACUAGUAGUCGAACAAUUCAUGAAAUAUUACCUUCAUCGAUGCAAAACGACAGUUCAGUUGCGGCAGCCUGCGGAGUGCGGACUUGGGUGGGGGAAAAUUGGGGUUUCAAGUUUCGACUUUGGGGAUAUUUGAUACACUAAUCCAGGAGAUGUGGCCACCGGUGGGCGGUGGAGGACUGGAAGUAGAAGAGCCGGCGAGAGUCCGGCGGAGCUUCGAGAGAACUCAGAGAAGCAGCCAAGCAGGCGACCUUGAGGCGAGAGAUGGGGAGAGAGACGUGAUUUUGAUUAGGUUUUGAUUAGAUUUUUGAUUUCAAACGGGUUUGGUUAGAUGUUGAUUUCAAACGGGUUAUUUAAUUGAUGGGUCAUGGGUCUGGGUCGGUAAACGGGUUAUGGGCUGUGGUUACUUCACUUGGGCUGCUGUUAAAUUGGACUAAAAAAAAAUUGGGCCAGCCCAAAAGUUCAGUGCGGGCAUCUGCCCACACUGGGCCUAAUGGGGCUCCGCCCCUGAGUGGCGGUGGUAGUGGUGAUGGAGUUGAAGCUCGUGCUUUGUAAAUCGUCGACUAUGUCGUCAACCCGUGGCUCCACGGGUUUCUGUUCCAUGGCUUAUGGGUAAAACCUUACAGUGGCUUCACUCUGUACAAUUUCAGAGAGGAGAUGUGGACUGGUGUUUGUGUGGAUGUGAAGGGACAUUGGGAUGGAGGUUGAGAGAAGGGUGUGAAAUAGGAAAACGC